ACUCCCCUCACACCGCUCCCUACAGCUUGUACUCUGCCUCUGACUCUCUUCCAAGAACAAUUUGGCAAGUUCUAAUCUACAUCUUGCAAAAAAAAAACAAAAAACAAAAAACAGAGAGGUAGGAGGGCCACAGCACCUGGGGUCCCAGAAGGCAGACUGACCUAUUCCUACAGCAGGGAGACAAGGUCUCAUUCUGUUGCCCAGGCUGGAGUGCAGUGGUGCAAUCACGGUUCACUGCAACCUGGAACUCCAGGGUUCAAGCAAUCCUCCUGCCUCAGCCUGCCGAGUAGCUGUGACAACAGGUGCGAGCCACCAUGCCCAGCUAAGAUUUCACCAUGUUGCCCAGCUGGUCUUGAACUCCUGGCCUCAAGCAAUUCUCCUGCUUUAGGCUCCCAAGUUGCUGGAAUUACAGGGCUGCACGGAGCCUGCUGAGUCUCCAACCCACCUCGCUCACCGCUCUGACCACUGACAGGCAGAGCAAAGGAUGCGGGAGUUGCCUCUGCUGCCCAUCUAAGGGGACGUAGGCAGAGAAGCAAAGGCCUCUGCUCUCCCUCCAUCCAUCCCGGUGUGCUGGCCCCAACGGAACAGGAGUCCUUCAACUAUUGCCUGCCAGAGACCCAAUUGCAGGGACUGUAGUCUGCAUCUGGAUGAGCUGGGCUGUAGAUUGAAGUCUCAGAAGCAGGGAAGGUUGGAAGGGGUAGGGUCCCAGAGCCCAUGGAGUUAUUGCUGAGAAGAUAUGCAGGGGACACAUUCCCCAGGGGCAGAGUAGAAGCCCUGGGCCUGGAAUCCCCGGGCGCUCUGUGAAGGGGCGGGGCAGAUGGGGACUCCUCGUGGAAGCCCCUGGGAAGAAAUUAACCACGGAAGGGCAUAGCCUGCCUGACGUCAACGCUGGGCUCACCA
rnacentral:lncRNA from 10 species